rnacentral:rRNA from 1 species
GACGAACGCUGGCGGCGUGCUUAACACAUGCAAGUCGAACGGAAAGGCCCUGCUUUUGUGGGGUGCUCGAGUGGCGAACGGGUGAGUAACACGUGAGUAACCUGCCCUUGACUUUGGGAUAACUUCAGGAAACUGGGGCUAAUACCGGAUAGGAGCUCCUGCUGCAUGGUGGGGGUUGGAAAGUUUCGGCGGUUGGGGAUGGACUCGCGGCUUAUCAGCUUGUUGGGGGGGUAGUGGCUUACCAAGGCUUUGACGGGUAGCCGGCCUGAGAGGGUGACCGGCCACAUUGGGACUGAGAUACGGCCCAGACUCCUACGGGAGGCAGCAGUGGGGAAUAUUGCACAAUGGGCGGAAGCCUGAUGCAGCAACGCCGCGUGCGGGAUGACGGCCUUCGGGUUGUAAACCGCUUUCGCCGGUGACGAAGCGUGAGUGACGGUAAUGGGUAAAGAAGCACCGGCUAACUACGUG